CAACUUUCAACAACGGAUCUCUUGGUUCUGGCAUCGAUGAAGAACGCAGCGAAAUGCGAUAAGUAGUGUGAAUUGCAGAAUUCAGUGAAUCAUCGAAUCUUUGAGCGCACAUUGCGCCCUUUGGUAUUCCAAAGGGCUUGCCUGUUCGAGCGUCACUU
rnacentral:rRNA from 1 species